rnacentral:rRNA from 3 species
AAAUUGAAGAGUUUGAUCAUGGCUCAGAUUGAACGCUGGCGGCAGGCCUAACACAUGCAAGUCGAACGGUAACAGGAAGCAGCUUGCUGCUUCGCUGACGAGUGGCGGACGGGUGAGUAAUGUCUGGGAAACUGCCUGAUGGAGGGGGAUAACUACUGGAAACGGUGGCUAAUACCGCAUAACGUCGCAAGACCAAAGAGGGGGACCUUUGGGCCUCUUGCCAUCAGAUGUGCCCAGAUGGGAUUAGCU